CUCCUAUGUAUCGUCUUUGGCGUGCAUGUGCAAGUAUUCAUUUAGCACACAGACUAGAAAUCAAACCGCUGGUUGCCAGGUAACAUGAAUCAUCACAUUUACUGUUUAUUAGCAAAUUGCUUGCAGCGUUCCAUUUACAUGUAUUCUUACCAAUGUGUGAUAUUUUUUGCUAAUUUUUUUCCCAACUUGAUGGGUAUGAAAUGACAUCUCAUUGCUGUUUCAGUUUUCAUUAUCUGAUUACUGACAGGGUUAAGCAGUUUUUCAUAGGUUUAUUGGUGAUUCCAGUUUUCUCCUCUGGGGGUUGUUGAUAGGCUUUUGUCAUUUUUCUGUUUUUCUUAAUUGUAUCUAGGAAUUCUUUACACAGAGAUGCCACAAAGUUUAACUUUGGCCUCAGUACUCAGGAAAAGAUAUACUUGGUUUCAGCCUUGGCUUCAGGCUUUGAAAGACAGAGUAACAAAUAGCUACUUCUUUUCUGGCCCCUUCAUCAUCUGCUUGUUCAAUGGAGGCCAGAGUCUUUCAAGAAAAAAAGUCUUAUUAGAGAAGUCUUCAUAUCUCGUGAGGAUGAAUUAAAAGCAGAAUCUCAACUUUGCUACCUUUAAAUGUCACGGAGAGAAAAAACUGCAAAACCAUGUGCAACAAUAUCCAUGAUAAAUCAUCUUUGAUCUCAACAUAACGGAGACUAUAAGGAGUAUAAAGACUAGAAGAAAGAGUAGAAGGUGAUCCACAAUCAAUUCAGAACCUGGUCUUCUAUGGUGGCUCACAGUUCCUGCACCCUACAAUAUCGUGGUAAUGAUGAAAGCUAGCCAUCUUGUUUAUUACAUGUUUCUCAGUACUUAAAUAUGGAGUCAGAAUUCUUUCACCACCGUGGGACUCCCAGGCCCCUCACUGUGGUACUUCUGUUGCUGGCACCUGGAAAGCCUGUUAGAGCACCUAGAAAGCCUGUACCUCUGUUGGGAGUGCACAUCUACUACUUCGAGUUGCCUUCUCCAUAUCUGUUAUCUUGGCCUACUGGUGACUUUCCAUCAGUCAUGUUAAGUUGCCAAAUAUGGUACCUAGAAUAUCAUAGAUUCUUAAUAAGUACUAUGAGAAUCAAUAUAGACAUAAUAAGCAAAAUCAAAAUCUUUAUCAUCUUAUUAGAUAUGGAAAAAAACUACAGAUACGAUGCAAUAAAAUUCCAACUGGACAAA
rnacentral:lncRNA from 1 species